rnacentral:rRNA from 2 species
UAUCACAAGUGCGAAUGCUGACAUAAGUAACGAUAAAACGAGUGAAAAACUCGUUCGCCGGAAGACCAAGGGUUCCUGUCCAACGUUAAUCGGGGCAGGGUGAGUCGGCCCCUAAGGCGAGGCUGAAAAGCGUAGUCGAUGGGAAACGGGUUAAUAUUCCCGUACUUGGUAAAGCUGCGAUGUGGGGACGGAGAAGGUUAGGUUAGCAGACUGUUGGAUGUCUGUUUAAGUUGGUAGGUGGGAAGUUUAGGCAAAUCCGGACUUCCAUAACACUGAGAGAUGAUGACGAGUUUCUACGGAAAUGAAGUAACUGAUACCACGCUUCCAGGAAAAGCCACUAAGCGAAAGGCUUUACUAAACCGUACUGAAAACCGACACAGGUGGUCAGGUAGAGAAUACUCAGGCGCUUGAGAGAACUCGGGUGAAGGAACUAGGCAAAAUAGCACCGUAACUUCGGGAGAAGGUGCGCUGGCGUAGGUUGUAAGAGUAUACCUCCGAAGGCUGAACCAGUCGAAGAUACCAGCUGGCUGCAACUGUUUAUUAAAAACACAGCACUCUGCAAACACGAAAGUGGACGUAUAGGGUGUGAUGCCUGCCCGGUGCUGGAAGGUUAAUUGAUGGUGUUAUCGAAAGAGAAGCUCCUGAUCGAAGCCCCAGUAAACGGCGGCCGUAACUAUAACGGUCCUAAGGUAGCGAAAUUCCUUGUCGGGUAAGUUCCGACCUGCACGAAUGGCAUAAUGAUGGCCAGGCUGUCUCCACCCGAGACUCAGUGAAAUUGAAAUCGCCGUGAAGAUGCGGUGUACCCGCGGCUAGACGGAAAGACCCCGUGAACCUUUACUAUAGCUUGACACUGAACAUUGAAUUUUGAUGUGUAGGAUAGGUGGGAG